CACAUGCAAGUCGAACGGCAGCGAGGAGAAGCUUGCUUCUCUGUCGGCGAGUGGCGAACGGGUGAGUAUAGCAUCGGAACGUGCCAAGUAGUGGGGGAUAACCAAACGAAAGUUUGGCUAAUACCGCGUAAGCUCCAAGGAGGAAAGUAGGGGACCUAAAUAAGGCCUUACGCUAUUUGAUCGGCCGAUGUCGGAUUAGCUAGUUGGUGGGGUAAUGGCUCACCAAGGCAAUGAUCCGUAGCGGGUCUGAGAGGACGAUCCGCCACACUGGGACUGAGACACGGCCCAGACUCCUACGGGAGGCAGCAGUGGGGAAUUUUGGACAAUGGGGGAAACCCUGAUCCAGCCAUGCCGCGUGUAUGAAGAAGGCCUUAGGGUUGUAAAGUACUUUUGUUAGGGAAGAAAAGCUAGUUUUUAAUAAAAAUUAGUGAUGACGGUACCUAAAGAAUAAGCACCGGCUAACUACGUGCCAGCAGCCGCGGUAAUACGUAGGGUGCAAGCGUUAAUCGGAAUUAUUGGGCGUAAAGCGAGUGCAGACGGUUACUUAAGCCAGAUGUGAAAUCCCCAAGCUUAACUUGGGACGUGCAUUUGGAACUGGGUGACUAGAGUGUGUCAGAGGGAGGUAGAAUUCCACAUGUAGCGGUGGAAUGCGUAGAGAUGUGGAGGAAUACCGAUGGCGAAGGCAGCCUCCUGGGAUAACACUGACGUUGAGGCUCGAAAGCGUGGGGAGCAAACAGGAUUAG
rnacentral:rRNA from 1 species